CUUCUCUCUCUCUCUCUGUUAAAACUACACAACAAACCUCUUCAUACAUUUCUUUUCUCCUCUCCACCAUUUCAUCUCUUUGUAAAGCUCACAAAUUAUUUAGGUUGAAAGUGUGAACCAGACAUGAGACUUUGUCGAGACAGGUUGUGCUCGCAUAACGUAAGUUGAAAGUGUGGAAAGCUUGUUAAGGUUCUUUUUAGAUUGUGAGAUUCGCUGUUAUCACGGUGGCCUGGAGUCAUAUCAGGAAGACGACCAGUCUAGUGUUGAUAAGCGGGAGGCUUGGAGUUGUUGUGGGUCGUUGUUACCCAACCAUCUUCAGUUAGAGUCCAAUGAUCAGCUUAGGGGAUUGUUGUUGGGGGGUCUCUUUUACUCGUCCUCAUUGUUUUCUCUGUAACUUGUAUAUGGUAAACCCUGCUUAUUUAUUUGUUGAAAUAAAUAUUGUCAUUAUGUCCUUCAAGACAGGAUGUUUGAUUUGUGUUCUAAAACAUUUCAUUGAGAAAAUAACUUAUAAAAGAGGCCUUGUAUUCUAAUCAUUCUCUUACAAAAACUUUACUCUGAUUUAUUUUAAAAAUGAUCGCAAAUGUUUUUAUUUCAAAGACUGUGUUGUUUUAAAAAGAAAAAAAAUUACACUCCCGUUGUUAAAAAUCGGGGUGUUACAGUCCCAGGAUGUCCAUUCCCCACCAGGCGAAGGGCCACGGUGAGGGUAACGAAGUCAAAUCGUUCGGGGGAGCGAGAUGCAUGUCGGCAUGGCGUUGGCAUUUAUCACAUCUUUGGACGUGGUCCUUGGCGUCUUGUUGCAUCGUCGGCCAGUAGUAUCCCGCCCGGAGAGCUUUCCGGGCUAAUGAGCGUCCGCCGGGGUGCUGUGCGUUUAUACCCUCGUGAAUUUCUUGUAGGACCUCGCGGGCUUUCCCGAAGUCUAGGAAUUUGAGUAAGGGAAUGGAGAAUCUCCUCCGGUAUAAUUUGUCUUCGACGACUACGUACGAGCAGGAUCUUCGCUUGACAGUCGCGGCCUCUUCUUGGUCGGGAGGGAGCUCAUUUUUUUUCAGGAAGUUGUAUACAGGGAUCAUCCAACAGUGGGCUUCUCCGAUGGCGUUUACCGAGGGUGGUUGCACGAUCGUUUGCACACUUGGUCGGGGGAGUGUUUCUUGAAUCACCGACCGGUUGCUCCCCUUCUUCCUGGUGCUUGCCAGUUUAGAAAGGAUGUCUGCCCGGGCAUUGUGCUCGCGGGGGACAUGCUCGACUUUGAGUUGGGCGAUGUUUUUGGUUUUCGGCUUGAACAUGGCCAGGUAUUCGAUUAGGAGUUCAUUUUUGGCUUGAUAAUUGCCAUUCAUCUGCAAAGCGACAAGCUGGGAGUCGGUGUAGAUAGUUACGACCCGCGCUCCCAAGUCUUCAGCAAGUCGGAUCCCUGUUAAGAGUGCUUCGUAUUCGUCCUGGUUGUUGGACGUUUGGAAUGACAGAAUGAGCGACACUUCUAUGAGGAUGCCUUCAUUGUUUUCGAGGAUGAUGCCUGCUCCGCUUCCUGACGAGCUGGAUGCUCCGUCGACGAAGAUCGCCCAUUCGUCGUUGGGAGUUGUUGGGGGACCGGGGAUCGUCAUCUCGGUGAAGAAGUCGGCCAGGGCUUCUACUUUCAGGGCUUUUCUGCUUUCAUAUUGGAUGUCAAACUCGGACAACUCGAUAGACCAUUUUAGCAUCCUGCCGGCCAUAUCUGGACGGCCUAGUAGUUGUUUGAUGGGCUGGUCGGUUCGAACGACAAUGGUGUGCGCGAAGAAAUAAUAUCGCAGUCGUCUCGCUGCGAUGACGAGCGAAAGUGCUACUUUUUCUUUUUUCUGGUACCUCACUUCCGGCCCCUAGAGGGCUUUGCUCGUGAAGUACACGGGUUUUUAUCCCUCGUUCGUUUCUCGUAUGAGCGUUGCGCUCACGGCUUCGACGGAUAAGGCCAAGUAAAGAUAGAACAUCUCUCCGACAUUCGGUCGGCUUAGGACGGGCGGUUGUGAUAGUACCUGUUUGAGGUGGGACAAGGUGCUCUCGCACUCGUCAGUCCACUCGAAGGUUGACUCUUUUCGCAGGAGCUUGAAAAACGGGAGGCAUGCUGGGCGAAUUUUGCGACAAAGUGGGACAGUGCGGUGAGCAUGCCGUUCAAGACUUGGAUUGAUUUUUUGCUGUUUGGUGUUGGGAGGUCGGAGAACGCCUGACAUUUGUCCGGAUUGGCUUCGAUGCCUCAUUUGGUCAGGUAGAAGCCGAGGAACUUGCCGGCCCUAACCCCGAACGUGCAUUUCUCGGGGUUGAACCUCAUUUUGCAUUGUCUUGCUCGAGCAAAGACUCGUUCGAGGUCGUCGGUAUGAGUGAUUUCUUCUCGAGAUUUGACGAUCAUGUCGUCCAUAUAGACCUCGAGAGUAUCGCCGAUUUCUCCUCGGAAGAUCGUGUUCAUCAUCCGCUGGUAGGUUGCCCCGGAGUUCUUGAGCUCGAACGGAAUUACGUUGUAAUAGUAAUUGCCUGAUUCGGUCAUGAAGGUCGUGUGCUUCCUGUUGCUCCUCGCCAUAGGUAUUUGAUUGUAUCCUGAAUAUGCAUCCAUAAAAGAUAAAAGUUUGUAACCGGCCGAGUUGUCGACCAGUUUAUCAAUAUUUGGUAAGGGAUAUGCAUCUUUAGGGCAUGCCCUAUUGAGAUCAGUAUAAUCAACGCACAUUCUCCAUUUUCCAUUAUUUUUCUUAACGAGUACAACGUUUGAGAGCCAAGUUGAAUACUUGGCCUCGUAAAUAAAGUUUGCCUCUAGAAGGUCUUUUACAGCUUUCUCGGCAGCCUCCACUUUUUCGGGAGACUGCCUUCUCCUACGUUGAGCUACGGCCCUAGUAGCCAGACUAAUACUAAGGUGAUGACAAGCGACCUCAGGGUUGAGUUCGGGCAUCUCAGCGGCGCUCCAGGCGAAGAGGUCGGAAUUCUGGCGGAGGCAAGCUUGCAGCUGUUUCUUGGCGAUCUCUGGUAUCCCUGCUCCAAUAUUGACCUUUUUGUUUGGAUCAUCUCCCAAGGUGAUGAGCUUGAAGUCCCCGUCAGAGAUGGGGCGGACGGGGCAGGCGGACUUCCCUUUAACCGCUGUUGGGUCUUCAGUGUCGUUCUUCAGCUCUUCCUCGGAAAACCGUGCAUCCAGGUCGAUGGAGUUCACGUCUGGCUUGCUGCUCUGCUCCCUUUCUUCGGCCUUGCUGGAAUUCUUCGGCUGUUUACUCAUGGAUUGGUAUUCUUUGACUGUCGCAUCGAAGCAUCUUCUUGCUGCCUCGAUAUCGCCCCUGAUUGUCGCUACUCUGCCCCUCUUUGUGUAGUACUUCAUUAGCAGGUGGGCAGUGGACAGGACCACGGUGAGUUCGUGAGAAUUUAAUAGAUACAAUAGUUCGUGAAAGCAACUUUCUUUUUAUUUUAGAAUUACAUUAAAAAUAAUGUAAUAAAAGAUAAGUCGGACAUGUGCGACUAAUUAUUUUAUAUAAUUUUUAAUAUUUUUUCUGCUUGCUCAAUAUGUCUUCAUUUAUUUAUUUGAUAUUUUAUUUUAGUUAAGUUUUAAAAUUGUUAAAGUAAAACUUUAAAUUUUAUCAUAGGAACUGUAAUAAAAAGAUUGUAGUGAAAAUUUAUAUAAAUUUUUAACUAAUUUUAAAUAGUUGAUACGUAAACUAAUACAUAAUUAU